GGCCAGGUAGUCUAUAGGUCUACUUCUAUGUGUAAUCAGGUAGUCUAUAGGUCUACUUCUAUGUGUAAUCAGGUAGUCUAUAGGUCUACUUCUAUGUGUCAUCAGGGCCAGGUAGUCUAUAGGUCUACUUCUAUGUGUCAUCAGGUAGUCUAUAGGUCUACUUCUAUGUGUAAUCAGGUAGUCUAUAGGUCUACUUCUAUGUGUCAUCAGGGCCAGGUAGUCUAUAGGUCUACUUCUAUGUGUAAUCAGGUAGCCUAUAGGUCUACUUCUAUGUGUCAUCAGGGCCAGGUAGUCUAUAGGUCUACUUCUGUGUCAUCAGGUAGUCUAUAGGUCUACUUCUAUGUGUAAUCAGGUAGCCUAUAGGUCUACUUCUAUGUGUAAUCAGGUAGUCU
rnacentral:lncRNA from 13 species